AACGAACGCUGGCGGCAGGCCUAACACAUGCAAGUCGAACGCGUCCUUCGGGACGAGUGGCAGACGGGUGAGUAACGCGUGGGAACGUACCCUUUGGUUCGGAACAACAGCGGGAAACUGCUGCUAAUACCGGAUAAGCCCUUCGGGGAAAGAUUUAUCGCCAGAGGAUCGGCCCGCGUUAGAUUAGCUUGUUGGUGAGGUAAUGGCUCACCAAGGCUACGAUCUAUAGCUGGUCUGAGAGGAUGAUCAGCCACACUGGGACUGAGACACGGCCCAGACUCUUACGGGAGGCAGCAGUGGGGAAUCUUGGACAAUGGGCGAAAGCCUGAUCCAGCCAUGCCGCGUGAAUGAUGAAGGCCCUAGGGUUGUAAAAAUUCUUUCGACGGGGAAGAUAAUGACGGUACCCGUAGAAGAAGCUCCGGCUAACUUCGUGCCAGCAGCCGCGGUAAU
rnacentral:rRNA from 1 species